CCAUCCCGCGUGCAGGAAGACGGCCCUAUGGGUUGUAAACUGCUUUUAUCAGGGAAGAAACCCCUUGACUUGUUAAGGGCUGACGGUACCUGAUGAAUAAGCACCGGCUAACUCCGUGCCAGCAGCCGCGGUAAUACGGAGGGUGCAAGCGUUAUCCGGAAUCACUGGGUUUAAAGGGUGCGUAGGCGGCUUAAUAAGUCAGAGGUGAAAGACUACAGCUUAACUGUGGGCCUGCCUUUGAUACUGUUAAGCUGGAAUCAGGUUGAAGUUAGUGGAAUGCGGCAUGUAGCGGUGAAAUGCAUAGAUAUGUCGUAGAACACCGAUUGCGAAGGCAGCUAACUGGGCUUGAAUUGACGCUGAGGCACGAAACGUGGGGAUCGAACAGGAUUAGAUCCCUGGUAGUCCACGCCCUAAACGAUGCU
rnacentral:rRNA from 1 species